CGAAGGGUGCAAGCGUUAAAUCGGAAUUACUGGGCGUAAAAGGGUGCGUAGGCGGUUUGUUAAAGUCUGUUGUGAAAAUCCCUGGGCUCAACCUGGGAAUGGCAAAUGGAUAACUGGCAAAGCUAGAGUGUGUCAGAGGAUGGUGGAAUUCCCGGUGUAGCGGUGAAAUGCGUAGAGAUCGGGAGGAACAUCAGUGGCGAAGGCGGCCAUCUGGGACAAACACUGACGCUGAAAGCACGAAAGCGUGGGGAGCAAAACAGGAUU
rnacentral:rRNA from 1 species